AGCGAACGCUGGCGGCAGGCUUAACACAUGCAAGUCGAACGGGCACUUCGGUGCUAGUGGCAGACGGGUGAGUAACACGUGGGAACGUACCUUUCGGUUCGGAAUAAUACAGGGAAACUUGUACUAAUACCGGAUACGCCCUUCGGGGAAGAUUAUCGCCGAUAGAUCGGCCCGCGUCUGAUUAGCUAGUUGGUGAGGUAAUGGCUCACCAAGGCGACGAUCAGUAGCUGGUCUGAGAGGAUGAUCAGCCACACUGGGACUGAGACACGGCCCAGACUCCUACGGGAGGCAGGCAGUGGGGAAUAUUGGACAAUGGGCGAAAGCCUGAUCCAGCCAUGCCGCGUGUGUGAUGAAGGCCUUAGGUUGUAAGCACUUUGUCCGGAAGAUAAUGACUGUACCGGAAGAAUAAGACCCCGGCCUAACUUCGUGCCAGCAGCCGC
rnacentral:rRNA from 1 species